rnacentral:rRNA from 1 species
GAUGAACGCUGGCGGCGUGCCUAAUACAUGCAAGUCGAGCGAACAGACGAGGAGCUUGUUCCUCGGACGUUUGCCGCGGACGGGUGAGUAACACGGGGAAACCCCACCUUUAAGGCUGGUAAAACUUCGGGAAACCGGCUCAUAUACCGUAAAAUAUAUUGAACCGCAUGGUUCACUAAUGAAAGACGGUUUUGCCAUCACUUAAUGAUGGAUCCGCGCCGUAUUAGCUAGUUGGUAAGGUAACGGCUUACCAAGGCAACGAUGCGUAGCCGACCUGAGAGGGUGAUCGGCCACACUGGAACUGAGACACGGUCCAGACUCCUACGGGAGGCAGCAGUAGGGAAUCUUCCGCAAUGGGCGAAAGCCUGACGGAGCAACGCCGCGUGAGUGAUGAAGGUCUUCGGAUCGUAAAACUCUGUUAUUAGGGAAGAACAAAUGUGUAAGUAACUAUGCACGUCUUGACGGUACCUAAUCAGAAAGCCACGGCUAACUACGUG